rnacentral:rRNA from 1 species
UACGAAGGGUGCAAGCGUUAAUCGGAAUUACUGGGCGCAAAGGGUGCGUAGGCGGUUCGUUAAGUCUGUCGUGAAAUCCCCGGGCUCAACCUGGGAAUGGCGAUGGAUACUGGCGAGCUAGAGUGUGUCAGAGGAUGGUGGAAUUCCCGGUGUAGCGGUGAAAUGCGUAGAGAUCGGGAGGAACAUCAGUGGCGAAGGCGACCAUCUGGGACAACACUGACGCUGAAGCACGAAAGCGUGGGGAGCAAACAGG